CUGGUUUAAACUCAGAGGCUCUGAGAGUCCCACAGCUCCAUCGGGGGACCGCCAGCGUUAACGGCAGCCUCGUUCCCUCCGAGAGAGACCAAACCAUCCAACGACGUCGAAAGUUGCCUACUUCAAGAGGAAAUAUGCGGAGGAGGAGGAUUUACACGCAGGCCUACGUGGAUAUUUUCAAAAACACCUGAGACUGCAGGAGGACCGCAGCUGCAUCCUGAAGCUGUCUCUGGAGAAGCUGCGCUUCCUGGAGGACCCCGAGGCGUACCUGCGGCGCUCCGUCCUCAUCAACAACCUGCUGAGGAAGAUCCACCAUGAGGAGGAGGAGGAGGAGGAGGAGGAGGAUGUAGAGGAGGAGGAAGAGGAGGAGGAGGAGGAGGAGGAGGAGGCGGCUGUCGAAGAGGCGGGGCAGCAGGCGCUGGCGUACCCGGACAGGAAGCGGCUGAAGGUGCUGGUGACGGAC